rnacentral:rRNA from 4 species
CCUGGUGGUUUGAGCGUAGUGGUCCGACCUGAUCCCAUCCCGAACUCAGUCGUCAAACGCUACAGCGGGUACGAUAAUGAAGUCGAAAGGCUUUGUGAAAAUACCUCACUGCCAGAU